GACGAACGCUGGCGGCGCGCUUAACACAUGCGAGUCGAACGGAAAGGCCUGCUUUCCCUUGUGGAUUGCGGGUACUCGAGUGGCGAACGGGUGAGUAACACGUGAGUGAUCUGCCCCCAACUUGGGUAUAAGCCUGGGAAACUGGGUCUAAUUCCCGAUAGGACUGCAGGGUGGUGCCUGUGGUGGAAAACGAUUUUCUAGUGGUUGGGGAUGAGCUCGCGGCCUAUCAGCUUGUUGGUGGGGUAAUGGCCUACCAAGGCGGCGACGGGUAGCCGGCCUGAGAGGGUGGACGGCCACAUUGGGACUGAGAUACGGCCCAGACUCCUACGGGAGGCAGCAGUGGGGAAUAUUGCACAAUGGGCGGAAGCCUGAUGCAGCGACGCCGCGUGGGGGAUGACGGCCUUCGGGUUGUAAACUCCUUUCGACCGCGAGGAAGCCACCUGGUUGGAAGGGUGGUGACGGUAGUGGUAGAAGAAGCACCGGCUAACUACGUG
rnacentral:rRNA from 1 species